CUUCAAUCCCUUGUAAUUUCCUCAUUCACAGCUACUGACAAUUCAAAGAAUCUGUGCCAAAUCCAAAUUCUCUAAUUUAGUUACAUUCAGCAUACUCCUAAAGUAUGUGCUCAGAUGGAAAGUUGGCUCUUUUAGGUUCAAAGAAUUCUGAUCAUAAGGGUUGAAGUAUCAGGGUUUCUCAGAUAACCAAAAGUCCAAAGAACUAAAGCAUCCCAUUCUCCAGGUACUUUGGUUUUCAAUGUCAUUAAGCAGACACUAUUCUCUCUGAUCAAUACCAUGAUAUCUCAGCCUCAGUUGACAAAUCAGCGUUAGGUUGCUGUCAGAUUCCACUAAGAACUAUGUGCAUCUCCACUUGUGUAAGGUGCCGCUGGGUCCAUCCAUCUAUCAUAAAGAAUCUUUGCAUUUAAGGAAGUGAUAUCGAGGCCGAGGUGGGAGAAUAGCUUGAACCCAGGAGGUUGCAGUGAGCUGAGAUCUUGCCAUUGCACUUCAGCCUGGCCACGCGAUUGAAACUCUGUCUCAAAAAAAAAAAAAAAAAAAGAAAAGAAAAGAAAAGAAAAAAAGAAGCGAUGUCAUUUGAAGCAGCAUUCAGGUCCUUCUGAAAAUCCACUGUUCACUGAAAAGACACAAUUCCACAUGUUAAAACAAGUGCAAUUAUCCAUCCUUUUCCGUUUGAUAAGCUGCUAAUGCUUCAUCCCGCUACUGGAGCCCCGGUCUCGUUAGUUAGGGCAGGGGGCCCUCUGCUGGGUACAUGCCCAGGUCUCUGCUUCAAGGCUGAUGAUCAGGCUGAGUCUGUGUGUCACUCUCACUCAGCUUCUGCAAGCACUGCCACUGGAGAACUGAGAGGACAUCGAUUGUGGUGUGAAGAUCAUCUCUUGCCUUGCUCUGUUGAGUUGUCUAUGUCCUCUUCUGGUAAUGGAAUAACUCUUCCACCCCAUUCCUGGACCAUGUCGUGCAGCGUUCAUGACGUGGAGGGCCUGUAG
rnacentral:lncRNA from 1 species